rnacentral:rRNA from 1 species
GACGAACGCUGGCGGCGUGCCUAAUACAUGCAAGUAGGACGCAGUUGCGAACGGCUGAGUAACGCGUAGGUAACUGCAUAUUAGAGGGGGAUCAAUAUUGGAAACGCUAGCUAAUACCGCAUACUAGUAGAUGGACCUGCGUUGUAUUAGCUAGUAGGUAGGGUAAUGGCCUACCUAGGUGACGAUACAUAGCCGACCUGCGUGGGUGGUCGGCCCCACUGGGACGUGGACACGCCCCCGACGUCUUCGGGUGACAGCACUAGGGAAUCUUCCGCAAUUUGGGGAACCCUUGCCAAGCUACGCCGCGUGAGUAAGGUGAGAUUUCGGGUCGGUAAUCUCUGUUGUUAAGGAAUCGGUACUUAACCAGAAAGGGACGGCUAACUACGUGCCAGCGGCCGCGGUAAUAC